rnacentral:misc_RNA from 1 species
UCCGGUUUGUCACCGGCAGUCUCAUUAGAGUGCCCUUUCGUAGCAACUAAUGACAAGGGUUGCGCUCGUUGCGGGACUUAACCCAACAUCUCACGACACGAGCUGACGACAGCCAUGCAGCACCUGUGUGACGAUUCCCUUUCGGGCACUCCUCAAUCUCUCAAGGAUCUCGUCCAUGUCAAGGGUAGGUAAGGUUUUUCGCGUUGCAUCGAAUUAAUCCACAUCAUCCACCGCUUGUGCGGGUCCCCGUCAAUUCCUUUGAGUUUUAAUCUUGCGACCGUACUCCCCAGGCGGUCUACUUCACGCGUUAGCUGCGUUACCAAGUCAAUUAAGACCCGACAACUAGUAGACAUCGUUUAGGGCGUGGACUAC